rnacentral:rRNA from 1 species
AACGAACGCUGGCGGCAUGCCUAACACAUGCAAGUCGAACGAGACCUUCGGGUCUAGUGGCGCACGGGGGCGUAACGCGUGGGAACCUGCCCUUAGGUUCGGAAUAACUCCCCGAAAGGGGUGCUAAUACCGGAUAAUGUCUUCGGACCAAAGAUUUAUCGCCUUUGGAUGGGCCCGCGUUGGAUUAGCUAGUUGGUAGGGUAAAAGCCUACCAAGGCGACGAUCCAUAGCUGGUCUGAGAGGAAGAUCAGCCACACUGGGACUGAGACACGGCCCAGACUCCUACGGGAGGCAGGAGUGGGGAAUAUUGGACAAUGGGCGAAAGCCUGAGCCAGCAAUGCCGCGUGAGUGAUGAAGGCCUUAGGGAUGUAAAGCUCUUUUAACCGGGAUGAUAAUGACAGUACCGGGAGAAUAAGCUCCGGCUAACUCCGUG